rnacentral:rRNA from 1 species
UACGUAGGGUGCAAGCGUUGUCCGGAAUUAUUGGGCGUAAAGAGCUCGUAGGCGGUUUGUCGCGUCUGCUGUGAAAACCCGGGGCUCAACCCCGGGCCUGCAGUCGAUACGGGCAGACUAGAGUGCGGUAGGGGAGACUGGAAUUCCUGGUGUAGCGGUGAAAUGCGCAGAUAUCAGGAGGAACACCGGUGGCGAAGGCGGGUCUCUGGGCCGAUACUGACGCUGAGGAGCGAAAGCGUGGGGAGCAAACAGG